GAAAGCAUUAAUGCAACCCCGCAGCCCUAAUUCUAUCAAGUGUCUUCGUCCCUCCCCCUGCAACACAACUGACCAAAGCUCACACAGCCGACGUUGUCACCUUGAGCUCUCCGACGUCGCAGUCGUUGUUUCUUGCCGGAAAAGAAACAUAGCUCCGUCACCGUUGUUCUGGUUUCAGUAAUCAUCUCAGGCGUCAAUCAAUUUGUCUUCCAACAGUUCCGUAGCUGUGCCGUCGUCAGACUCGUAUCACUCGUCGCUCAACUCGCCGUUGGAUAGGUGCUAGUUUUCACUUGCAAAACUGAAGUGAAUAUUUGAGAUCAUGCCACGGCGAUCUUUAUGGAAGGGUAGUUUUGUUGAUGCAUUCCUGAUGGGCCUGAAGAAUCGAACAGAUCUUCUUUCAAACAAGAAAAUUUGGUCUCGUCGAUCUACCAUUUUGCCUGAAUUCCUUGAUAAGACUGUACGAAUUUACAAUGGAAGGAACUUUGUUCGCUGUAAGAUUACUGAAGAAAAGGUUGGUUAUAAAUUUGGAGAGUUUGCUAUGACUCGGAAACGGCGUCCUUGGGGCACUCCGAAAGGGAAAAAGUGAGUGAUCGCUAUAGAGGUUACAUUCACAGGAUUACCAGACUUUGAUUUAGCCCAGCAGUUUUAUGAAUAAUAGUGAAUACUCUUUCUUUAUAUUGAAGUUGUGCCAGCUUGGAACUUUAUUUGUGUUUGUGUUAUCUUUACAAGUUCUUCACAUUUAGUCUAACAUUGUCUUUUGAAUCAGUUCACUGUUUUCACAAUUUUGCUCUCCAUUUGGUGACGCAAUGCCUAAUUGAUCAAGUGUUUUUUAAGGUUAUCAAGCUGCUCUCUAUGUUGCUUCUAGUUUACUGAGUUCCUAUGUAGUUUCAUAUUUCUUUUGAAUUCUUUUCUAUACAAAAGCCCUGAUUCUAAGUGAAUAUUGCAUCAACAUUGAUGCUUUGCA